rnacentral:rRNA from 1 species
CUGAAUAACUUGGCAGAUCGCACGGUCUAGAACCGGCGACGAAUCUUUCAAAUGUCUGCCUUAUCAACUGUCGAUGGUAGUUUACAUGCCUACCAUGGUGAUAACGGGUAACAGAGAAUAAGGGUUUGACUCUGGAGAGGCAGCCUGAGAGACGGCUACCACAUCCAAGGAAGGCAGCAGGCACGCAAAUUACCCACUCUCAGAACGAGGAGGUAGUGACGAAAAAUAACGAGGUCGUUUCCAUUUGGAGCCGACCAUCGGAAUGGGUACAAUUUAAACCAUUUAACGAGGAUCUAUUGGAGGGCAAGUCUGGUGCCAGCAGCCGCGGUAAUUCCAGCUCCAAUAGCGUAUAUUAAAGUUGUUGCGUUUAAAAAG